GAUGAACGCUGGCGGCGUGCCUAAUACAUGCCAGUCGAGCGAACGGACGAGAAGCUUGCUUUUCUGAUGUUAGCGGCGGACGGGUGAGUAACACGUGGAUAACCUACCUAUAAGACUGGGAUAACUUCGGGAAACCGGAGCUAAUACCGGAUAAUAUUUUGAACCGCAUGGUUCAAAAGUGAAAGACGGUCUUGCUGUCACUUAUAGAUGGAUCCGCGCUGCAUUAGCUAGUUGGUAAGGUAACGGCUUACCAAGGCAACGAUGCAUAGCCGACCUGAGAGGGUGAUCGGCCACACUGGAACUGAGACACGGUCCAGACUCCUACGGGAGGCAGCAGUAGGGAAUCUUCCGCAAUGGGCGAAAGCCUGACGGAGCAACGCCGCGUGAGUGAUGAAGGUCUUCGGAUCGUAAAACUCUGUUAUUAGGGAAGAACAUAUGUGUAAGUAACUGUGUACAUCUUGACGGUACCUAAUCAGAAAGCCACGGCUAACUACGUG
rnacentral:rRNA from 1 species